ACGUUCAGGUAAUCGCUGCCGCCUUAAAGGCUGCAGAGGAAAGUCCAUGCUCACACGGUGCUGAGAUGCCCGUAGUGUUCGUGCCUGGCGAAACCAUAAGCCAGGGCAGCUCGGCAUUUGCUGGGCUGACGGCAGGGAAAAUACCUAAGUCCCUUAAAGGGAUAUGGUAUGAUUACCUUGAAAGUGCCACAGUGACGCAGCUUUGCGAGAAAUCGCAAAGGUGGAACGAGGUAAACCCCGCGAGUGAGCAACCCAAAUUAUGGUAGGGGCGCCUUCUCGAAGGAAAUGAACGGAGAGAAGGGCAAGCAAGAUGUUCUUGCUUGCAGAUAGAUGAUUACCGCCUGAGUACGAGACUAUCCCAGUCGCUUGCAGUACGAAGGAACAGAACAUGGCUUACAGAA
rfam:Bacillus smithii strain DSM 4216, complete genome.